AUUGAACGCUUUUGGCAGGCCUAACACAUGCAAGUCGAACGGUAACAGAAAGCAGCUUGCUGCUUUGCUGACGAGUGGCGGACGGGUGAGUAAUGUCUGGGAAACUGCCUGAUGGAGGGGGAUAACUACUGGAAACGGUAGCUAAUACCGCAUAACGUCGCAAGACCAAAGAGGGGGACCUUCGGGCCUCUUGCCAUCGGAUGUGCCCAGAUGGGAUUAGCUAGUAGGUGGGGUAACGGCUCACCUAGGCGACGAUCCCUAGCUGGUCUGAGAGGAUGACCAGCCACACUGGAACUGAGACACGGUCCACACUCCUACGGGAGGCAGCAGUGGGGAAUAUUGCACAAUGGGCGCAAGCCUGAUGCAGCCAUGCCGCGUGUAUGAAGAAGGCCUUCGGGUUGUAAAGUACUUUCAGCGGGGAGGAAGGGAGUAAAGUUAAUACCUUUGCUCAUUGACGUUACCCGCAGAAGAAGCACCGGCUAACUCCGUGCCAGCAGCCGCGGUAAUACGGAGGGUGCAAGCGUUAAUCGGAAUUACUGGGCGUAAAGCGCACGCAGGCGGUUUGUUAAGUCAGAUGUGAAAUCCCCGGGCUCAACCUGGGAACUGCAUCUGAUACUGGCAAGCUUGAGUCUCGUAGAGGGGGGUGGAAUUCCAGGUGUAGCGGUGAAAUGCGUAGAGAUCUGGAGGAAUACCGGUGGCGAAGGCGGCCCCCUGGACGAAGACUGACGCUCAGGUGCGAAAGCGUGGGGAGCAAACAGGAUUAGAUACCCUGGUAGUCCACGCCGUAAACGAUGUCGACUUGGAGGUUGUGCCCUUGAGGCGUGGCUUCCGGAGCUAACGCGUUAAGUCGACCGCCUGGGGAGUACGGCCGCAAGGUUAAAACUCAAAUGAAUUGACGGGGGCCCGCACAAGCGGUGGAGCAUGUGGUUUAAUUCGAUGCAACGCGAAGAACCUUACCUGGUCUUGACAUCCACAGAACUUUCCAGAGAUGGAUUGGUGCCUUCGGGAACUGUGAGACAGGUGCUGCAUGGCUGUCGUCAGCUCGUGUUGUGAAAUGUUGGGUUAAGUCCCGCAACGAGCGCAACCCUUAUCCUUUGUUGCCAGCGGUCCGGCCGGGAACUCAAAGGAGACUGCCAGUGAUAAACUGGAGGAAGGUGGGGAUGACGUCAAGUCACCAUGGCCCUUACGACCAGGGCUACACACGUGCUACAAUGGCGCAUACAAAGAGAAGCGACCUCGCGAGAGCAAGCGGACCUCAUAAAGUGCGUCGUAGUCCGGAUUGGAGUCUGCAACUCGACUCCAUGAAGUCGGAAUCGCUAGUAAUCGUGGAUCAGAAUGCCACGGUGAAUACGUUCCCGGGCCUUGUACA
rnacentral:rRNA from 1 species